GGCGGCGUGCUUAACACGUGCAAGUCGAACGCGAAAGGGACUUCGGUCCUGAGUAAAGUGGCGCACGGGUGAGUAACGCGUAGAUAACCUGUCUUCAUGUCUGGAAUAAUACGCCGAAAGGGGUACUAAUACCGGAUAUUCUUGCUUUUCAUAAGUUAUGCAAGCAAAGGUGGCCUCUGCAUAUGCUACUGCAUGAAGAGGGGUCUGCGUACCAUUAGCUAGUAGGUGGGGUAAUGGCCUACCUAGGCGACGAUGGUUAGCGGGUCUGAGAGGAUGAUCCGCCACACUGGCACUGGAACACGGGCCAGACUCCUACGGGAGGCAGCAGUGAGGAAUAUUGCGCAAUGGGGGAAACCCUGACGCAGCGACGCCGCGUGAGUGAAGGAAGGCCUUCGGGUCGUAAAGCUCUGUCAAGAGGAAAGAAGUGUACAAUGGCUAAUACCUGUUGUAUUUGACGGUACCUCUAAAGGAAGCACCGGCUAACUCCGUGCCAGCCGCAGC
rnacentral:rRNA from 1 species